rnacentral:tRNA from 1 species
GGUCUUUUGGUGAAUUCACUCAUCACAACGAAAUUUCAAUUCGUAGUAAGUCAAGACUA